rnacentral:rRNA from 1 species
UACGGGGGGGGCAAGCGUUGUUCGGAAUUACUGGGCGUAAAGGGCUCGUAGGCGGCCAACUAAGUCGGACGUGAAAUCCCCAGGCUCAACCUGGGAACUGCGUCCGAUACUGGAUGGCUUGAAUCCGGGAGAGGGAUGCAGAAUUCCAGGUGUAGCGGUGAAAUGCGCAGAUAUCAGGAGGAACACCGGUGGCGAAGGCGGCUUGCUGGGCCAGUUCUGACGCUGAGGAGCGAAAGCGUGGGGAGCGAACAGG